CGCUCCGUCAGGUUCUGGUUUCUAGCUCCGGGGUGGGGCUGGGGGUCGGGGACAGAGGGCUUCGUUUGCCCUGACCGCCCCCUUCCCGUCCUGGGUAGUGGCUGGACCUUAGCUGCGUCCCCAGCGGCCUCAGUGCUGACUUUGGGACGUUGGGCCCGAGGAGCCCGGCCGGGCCUCAGAGCGGAGUUGGCAUUUCCAGAUUGGGGCUUGCACCGCCCCUCCUCCAGAACCCUCCCCUCCGGACCGCGCAGGGUGCCGCAGGCGAUCCGGGCGAGCUCUCCUGGCGCGGUAGGUACUGCCCGCUUGGGCUUCCUCCUUCCUUCCCCUCCCUCUUUUUUUUCUCCCCUCCCCUUCCCUCCUUUCCUCUUACUUCCCCUCUCUUCCCUUCCCUUCCCCUCCGCUCCUUCCCCUUGGGCCCCGCGUUACGGGGGGAGGCCGCCCCCCUCUCAGGCGCGGGUGCCCGCCAGGGCUCCAGGCCCAGGUUCCUGGGACUGACGAUGGAAGGCGUGGGCGGGUGGGCGCCAACUUGAAUCCCGUAACCCCUAAGGUAAAUCGAGUCAAAGAACUUUCUCUAAAAUGAUCAAAGGGACCGUCCUCCCUUGUGAUGCAUGUGGCAUGUAUGGAUCUGGGUGGAAUGCGUGUGGUGAGGGCGUGUGAAGCUGAAAGAAUAGUAGGAGCCAAAGAGCUUCCGGAAGAGGAAAUUAGCUAGUAAUUCUUUCCAACCUUUGCUGGUCUAGUCAUCUCCCCAGGAUCUUCUGUAAGUAGAACAAAAUUCAAUCUAACUUUCAGUUUCAUUAUUUUAACUCCGUAGUGCACUUAAUUAUUUUCGUUUCGGCAGGAGGGAAAGUGGUUAUUGCUGAAACUAAGCCAUGGCUGGCCCGCCUCUAAAAAAAGAACGUCAAUCAAAGCUUUGUAAAAACCUACCCGAUUUUAAUAAUCUGCUACUUUGCUUUCAAAUGUAAUUAUGUCACUAGUUCUGUCAGAACUGUACCUUGAUAGUUAAUGAGGCAUAGCAAUUUACUCUGGUAAGACUGGAGAUUACUAUAAUGUUUCUUUUUUUUUUUUACUUAACAUUUGUUACAACCAGUUCAAGAGAACACUUACAGACGGCCAUCUUAGAAUUAUAACAUUUUUGAUUUGGAAGGGAUCUUAGUUCAACCUUGUUAUUUUACAAAAGCUGAAACUGAGGCACAGGAAAAUUUCAUGGCUUGCCUAAAGGUACUCGACUACUUAAAUUAGAACCCAGGUUGUCUGGCUCCUUGCUCGCCAGUCUUUCUGCGCAACCACUCCACAUAGCCUCCAAGCAACGAACUUCAAUGUAUUCAGUAUAACGUACAUUUCUGAAGCCUCUACCACUUUGUGACAUACGACUCUGCUACUGCUUUCAAUGAAUUUAACAUGCUUAUGAAGCUGCUGCUUGAAACAGUUUCCCCCAUCAUUCAAGAAGUGGCAACAGUUUAGGUUAAAAAGAUUUAUACACACAGGCACAUAUGUAUACUUGAAUACAUUCAGGUAACUUUUUGAAGGAUACGUAAAAGGAUUUUUUUUUUACAUAAGAAAAAUGUUAACAGUGGUUACUUAUGCAGGGUGAAGAGAGGUGGGAGGCUUUUUACUUUGCACUUCACUUGUGUCCUAAUGUACUAUUUGAAUUUCUUCCAUAAGCAAGUAUUGAGUUUACAAUUAAAAACAAGUUUUAAAGUUCACACACAUAUAUAUAUAUCAGUAUAGAUAAGUAUAUAUCAAUAAUAUGUGUAUAUGUAUGUAUGUACAUAUAUGUAUUUAUGUAUCACUGGUUUGGUUUUUUUGUUUGUAUUAUGAAAUCCAGUGUGGUUCAUGUCAGACUAACUGGCAAAGGAGGCUUGAUUAUUGCAUGCUUACGUUUCUUUGGUUUUCUCUUGUUGUGCCUAAUGUAAGAUGGUAAAAAGUUAUAUAUGUUACUAGUCUUUAAAUAUUUUUAGAAAAUGUGCUAUGCUUUUGAUUAUCAUAUAACGGAGCAAACUAUUAACAUUCCGGAUAUCAAAUUUGAUACAAUGAAAAAAUUGAAUGUAGAAUCUUUCUGGAUAAGAAUCAUUUUUUUAAAAAAUUAAAACUGGAAAGGUCCCUGGUGAUUAGUAGUUCAGCUUUUUUCUUUCUUUGAAUGGGUUAGUUAAGAGUCAAAGAAGAAAAGUUGCCCAGGGUUAUAUAUCUGAUUAUUAGCAGAGAUUGGACUAGGAUCUAGGUCCUAGUCCAGUGCCCCUUGUAAAUGAUACCUGUAAUUUUAUUGCUUUCUAGUGCAUUCGAUGACGCCAACUAGGCAGACAAAGUAAUGGUGACUAAAGAUUAGGACCAUUUCAAUAGAUAAGAAUUAUUGUAAUUAAUGUACCAUUAAUUUGUAUAGUGCUUGAAAUAUUUUAGUAAUGUAAAUGUUCCCUUUACAUUUGUUAUAAUCAUUAAUUUUUUUUAGUAAAUCCUUUGUUUAUAUUACAAAUACUUAGAGACCCCAAAUAUGAAACUAUAUAUUUCACUGUUUUUGUUUGGUCUCAUAUAUGAGUUUGGUAGUGCUAACAGGAAAUAAAAAAACUAUGUUUUAUCUAAAAUAUAUAUACCUAUAUAUACAUUUAGAUAUAUCUAAAUGUAUAUAU
rnacentral:lncRNA from 1 species